rnacentral:rRNA from 1 species
GGAAAGGGUUACAGUGGAUACCUAGGCACCCAGAGACGAGGAAGGGCGUAGUAAUCAAUGAAAUGCUUCUGGGAGUUGAAAAUAAGCAUAGAUCCAGAGAUUCCCAAAUAGGGAAACCUUUUGAACUACUGCUAAAUCCAAGGGCAGGCAAGAGACAACCUAGAGAACUAAAAUAUCUUAGUAGCUAGAGGAAAAGAAAGCAAAAGCGAUUCUCGUAGUAGCGGCGAGCGAAAUGGAAGUAGCCUAAACCUUGAAAACAGGGUUGUGGGAGAGCAAUACAAGCAUCGUGCUGCUAGGAAAAGUAAUCUGAAUGAUGCACCCUAGAUGACGAAAGUCCAGUAGCCGAAAGUAUCACUAGAUUACACUCUAACCCGAGUAGCAUAGGGCACAUGGAAUCCCAUGUGAAUCAGCAAAGACCACCUUGCAAGGCUAAAUACUCUUGGGUGAUCGAUAGCGAAGUAGUACCGUAAGGGAAAGGUGAAAAGAACCCCCAUCAGGGAGUGAAAUAGAACAUGAAAACAUAAGCUCCCAAGUAGUGGAAGGAGCCAGGGCUCUGACCGCGUGCCUGUUGAAGAAUGAGCAGGCGACUCAUAGGCAGUGGCUUAGUUAAGGGAACCCACUGGAGCCGUAGCGAAAGCGAUUCUUCAUAGGGCAAUUGUCACUGCUUAUGGACCCAAACCUAGGUGAUCUAUCCAUGACCAGGAUGAAGCUUGGGUGAAACUAAGUGGAGGUCCUAACCGNCUGGUUCUCCCCGAAAUGCGUUGAGGCGUAACAGUGGACUGGACAUUUAGGGGUAAAGAACUAUUUUGGUGAGGUCAGUGAGAGCGGUACCAAAUCGAGGCAAACUCUAAAUACUAGGUAUGGAAUCAAAAUUAAAAAAGAGGGGUCAAAGUCGGCUAGUGAGACGAUGGGGGAUAAGGUUCAUCGUUGAGAGAGAAAUAGCUCGGAUCACCAGCUANAGCGCUCUUGCACCGAAGAUGAACAAGGCUAAGCGAUCUACCGAAGCUGUGGAGUGUAAAAAUACAUCGGUAGGGGAGUGUUCCGCCUUAGAGAGAAGCCUCCGCAUGAGGGGUGGUGGACGAAGCGGAAGCGAGAAUGUCAGCUUGAGUAAUGAAAACAUUGGUGAGAAUCCAAUGCCCUAAAAACCUAAGGGUUUCUCCGCAAGGUUCAUCCACGGAGGGUGAGUCAAGGCCUAAGAUCAGACCGAAAGGCAUAGUUGAUGGAAAACAGGUGAAUAUUCCUGUACUACCCCUUAUUGAUCCUGAGGGACAGAGGAGGCUAGGUUAGCCGAAAGAUGGUUAUCGGUUCAAGAACGUAAGGUGUCCCUGCCCUUUUUUUAGGGUAAGAAGCGGUAGAGAAAAUGCCUCGAGCCAAUGUUCGAAUACCAGGCGCUACGGCGCUGAAGUAACCCAUGUUAUACUCCCAGGAAAAUCUUGAACGACUUUGAGUAAGAGGGUACCUGUACCCGAAAUCAACACAGGUGGGUAGGUAGAGAAUACCUAGGGGCGCAAGACAACUCUCUCUAAGGAACUCGGCAAAAUAGUCCCAUAACUUUGGGAGAAGGGGUGCCUCUUCAAAUCACAAAGAGGGCUGUAGUGACCAGGCCUGGGCUACUAUUCACCAAAAACACAAGUCUCUGCAAAUUCGUAAGACCAUGUAUGGGGGCUGACGCCUGGCCAGUGCCGGAAGGUCAAGGAAGUUGGUGACCUAAUUACAGGAAAUCCGUCAACCGAAGCCCCAGUGAAUGGCGGCCAUUACUAUAAUGGUCAUAAGGUAGCAAAGUUCCUUGUCGGGUAAGUUCUAACCCACAAUAAAGGCGUACGAUUUGGGUACUGUCUUGGAGAGAGGCUCGGUAAAAUAGACAUGUCUGUGAAGAUGCGGACUACCUGCACCUGGACAGAAAGACGCUAUGAAGCUUCACUAUUCCCUAGGAUUGGAUUUGGGACUUUCCUGUGCAUCUUAGGUGAAAGGCGAAGAAUGCCUCCUUCCGGGGGACCCAAGCCAUCAGUGAGAUACCACUCUGGAAGGGAUAGAAUUCUAACCUUGUGUCAGGACCUACUGGCCAAGGGACAGUCUCAGGUAGACAUUUUCUAUGGGGCGUAGGCCUCACAAAAGGUAACGGAGGUGUGUAAAGGUUUCCUCAGGCCGGACGGAGAUUGGCCCUCGAGUGCAAAGGCAAAAAGGAGCUUGACUGCAAGACCCACCUAUCGAGCAGGGCCAAAAGUCGGCCUUAGUAAUCUAACAGUGCCGAGUGGAAGGGCCUGUCGAGCANGAAGGUUUGGCACCUCGAUGUCGGCUUUUCGCCACCUGGGGCUGUAGUAUGUUCCAAGGGUUGGGCUGUUCUCCUAUUAAAGCGGUACAUGAGCUAGGUUUAGAAUGUCGUGAGACAGUUUGGUCCAUAUCUGGUGUGGGCGUUAGAGAAUUGAGAGGACCUUUCCCUAGUACGAGAGGACCGAGAACGAUGCACCUCUGGUGUACCAGUUAUCGUGCCCACGAUAAACGUUGGGUAGCAAAGUGCGGAGCAGAUAACUUUUGAAAGUAUCUAAGUAGUAAGCCCACCCCAAGAUGAGUGCUCUCCUAUUCCGACUUCCCCAGAGAUACCGGUAGCACAGUCAAGACAGCGAUGGGUUCUCUGCCCCUGCUGGGAUGGAGCAACAAAAGUUUUUUUGAGAAUUCAAGAAAAGGUCACGGCGAGACGAGUCAUUUAUCAUUACGCUAGGUGUCAAGUGGAAGUGCAGUGAUAUAUGCAGCUGAGGCAUCCUAACAUACCGGUAGACUUGAAA